CACGGAGGGUGCAAGCGUUAUUCGGAAUCACUGGGCGUAAAGAGCGCGUAGGCGGUCUCUUAAGUCAGAUGUGAAAGCCCGGGGCUCAACCCCGGAAGUGCAUUUGAAACUAAGGGACUUGAGUAUGGGAGAGGGAAGUGGAAUUCCUGGUGUAGCGGUGAAAUGCGUAGAUAUCAGGAGGAACACCGGUGGCGAUGGCGACUUCCUGGACCAAUACUGACGCUGAGGCGCGAAAGCGUGGGGAGCAAACAGG
rnacentral:rRNA from 1 species